AACGCCCGGUCUCAUUCCGAACCCGGAAGCUAAGCCCUCCAGCGCCGAUGGUACUGCACUCGACAGGGUGUGGGAGAGUAGGACACCGCCGAAC
rnacentral:rRNA from 1 species